GGGCUUCAGUGCUUCAGUUCGUGGCCUGGCAUUUUGUCUAUAAGGAAGGCCUUUGAAGGGAAAUCAAGUAGGAAGAGGAUGAUAGCUGGCUCACAUGUCCUUGCCACAUGGGAGGAAGAGUGUCUUCAUCUCUGCAUCCCUAGUGCAACAGAGCAUGAUAAAAAUUCAAUAAAUAUUUAUUGAAGAGUCUUGUUGUCUUUUGGGAAAGGAACUCUAUGGUUACCUUUACUCUAAGUUAAAAACAACAACAACAACAACAACAAAAACACAAAACCCUGAGGCUCAGAAGAUAAAUAUUUGCUGAAGAUCACUGUGCUUAUUAGAUGGGUGUUACUGAUUCUUACCUCAGAGAAGAGAAUGUCAUGGAGACAAAAUGAUCUGCUUAGAGUUCUGCACCCCCCAGCAUGGAGAGCAGAGCGCAAAGAUUUCUUCCGGACUCUCACAUUCCCCUUGGAAUCCAAGAACUGGUCUACUGUCACAACACUUUAGUACCCUCUUCUCCCAAGGAGGCAGCAGAAACUGGGGUAAUCACAACGGUCAACAGCAGCAAAGGCAGCACUUUCUGAUUUACUUGACUGCUAUGGAUGCCACCUAUCUCCACGCCUCAGUUUAAU
rnacentral:antisense_RNA from 1 species